rnacentral:sRNA from 1 species
CAGACUUGAUGCAUCUCACGAUGUCCCGC